ensembl:lncRNA
CCUAUUUUCUUUUUUUUCAGAUGGAGUCUCACUCUGUCACCCAGGCUGGAGGGCAAUGGCACGAUCUCAGCUCACUGCAAACUCUGCCUCCCAGGUUCAAGUGAUUCUCCUGCCUCAGCGUCCCAAGUAGCUGGAUUACAGUCCCACAGCUGUAAGGAACUGAAUGCUGCCAACAACUGGUGUGCUUGAAAGAGCACUACGAGCCUCAGAUGAAAUUGCAGCUCUACUGACACCUUGACUUCAGCCUGAUGAAAUACUGAGAAGACAAGCUCACUGGUACCCAGACUCCUGACACAUAGAAACUGCUCUGUGGGAUGUGUGCAUCUCACAUGGAAGGCUCAGGACCUGUCUUUGAAUGAAUUAAUGAGGAAAUGGAAAACUUCACUCUACUGCUCCUGUAAAUGUAGAAUAAGUUUCUCAAGCUUGAAACACUUACCCCUGUGAAGCUGAGACACCAAGAAGUCCAGCCCAUAUGGAGAAGACAUAUGGAGGAGAACCAAGGUGCUCUAGUCAACAGUCCCAGAUGAAUUGCCAGAUGACAGUCAGAACCAGCCAAC